rnacentral:lncRNA from 1 species
AUGCAUUUGCACAUAGUCACAGAGUUUGACUUUUCUUCCCGCAUAGACAGUAGUGUCCUACACCUUAUACACACAGCAUCCCGCACCUUGUACACACAGCAUUCUACCCCUUGUACACACAGCAUCCCACCCCUUAUACACACAGCAUCCCACACCUUGUACACACAGCAUCCCAUACCUUUACACACAGCAUCCCACCCCUUGUACACCCAGCGUCCCACCCCUUGUACACCCAGCGUCCCACCCCUUGUACACCCAGCGUCCCACCCCUUGUACACACAGUGUCCCACCCCUUGUACACACAGCGUCCCACCCCUUGUACACACAGCGUCCCACACCAUGUGCACACACCACCCUGUACCUUAUACACACAGCAUCCCAUACCGUGUACACACAGCAUCCCACCCCUUGUACACACAGCAUCCCAUACCUUGUACACACAGCAUCCCACCUCUUGUACACACAGCGUCCCACACCUUAUACACACAGCAUCCCAUACCUUGUACACACAGCAUCCCACCCCUUGUACACACAGCAUCCCACACCUUAUACACACAGCAUCCCACCCCUUGUACACACAGCAUCCCACCCCUUGUACACACAGCGUCCCACCCCUUGUACACACAGCGUCCCACCCCUUGUACACACAGCGUCCCACCCCUUGUACACACAGCGUCCCACCCCUUGUACACACAGCGUCCCACACCAUGUACACACAGCGUCCCACCCCUUGUACACACAGCGUCCCACACCAUGUGCACACAGCACCCUGUACCUUAUACACACAGCAUCCCAUACCGUGUACACACAGCAUCCCACCCCUUGUACACACAGCAUCCCACACCUUGUACACACAGCGUCCCACCCCUUGUACACACAGCGUCCCACACCAUGUGCACACAGCACCCUGUACCUUAUACACACAGCAUCCCAUACCGUGUACACACAGCACCCUGUACCUUAUACACACAGCAUCCCAUACCGUGUACACACAGCAUCCCACCCCUUGUACACACAGCGUCCUGUCCCUUGUACACACAGCAUCCUGCCCCUUGUAUACACAGUGUCCCGCACCUUGCUUUUUUCAUUUAA